GCGCUCAUUUUGGCAGCAUAUAUCCUAAAACUGCAACAAUAUAGGGAAGAUUCCAUGGCCCCCGUGCAAAGAUGCACAGUUGUCUUGCUGUAUCUUCACAAACUUGU
ensembl:snRNA U6 U6 spliceosomal RNA